CAGAAGUGCGAAUGCUGACAUAAGUAACGAUAAAGCGGGUGAAAAGCCCGCUCGCCGGAAGACCAAGGGUUCCUGUCCAACGUUAAUCGGGGCAGGGUGAGUCGACCCCUAAGGCGAGGCCGAAAGGCGUAGUCGAUGGGAAACGGGUUAAUAUUCCCGUACUUGGUGUUACUGCGAAGGGGGGACGGAGAAGGCUAUGUUGGCCGGGCGACGGUUGUCCCGGUUUAAGCGUGUAGGUGUGUGUUCCAGGUAAAUCCGGUUCACUUUAACACUGAGGCGUGACGACGAGGCACUACGGUGCUGAAGCAACAAAUGCCCUGCUUCCAGGAAAAGCCUCUAAGCAUCAGGUAACAUCAAAUCGUACCCCAAACCGACACAGGUGGUCAGGUAGAGAAUACCAAGGCGCUUGAGAGAACUCGGGUGAAGGAACUAGGCAAAAUGGUGCCGUAACUUCGGGAGAAGGCACGCUGACACGUAGGUGAAGUGAUUUACUCAUGGAGCUGAAGUCAGUCGAAGAUACCAGCUGGCUGCAACUGUUUAUUAAAAACACAGCACUGUGCAAACACGAAAGUGGACGUAUACGGUGUGACGCCUGCCCGGUGCCGGAAGGUUAAUUGAUGGGGUCAGCGCAAGCGAAGCUCCUGAUCGAAGCCCCGGUAAACGGCGGCCGUAACUAUAACGGUCCUAAGGUAGCGAAAUUCCUUGUCGGGUAAGUUCCGACCUGCACGAAUGGCGUAAUGAUGGCCAGGCUGUCUCCACCCGAGACUCAGUGAAAUUGAACUCGCUGUGAAGAUGCAGUGUACCCGCGGCAAGACGGAAAGACCCCGUGAACCUUUACUAUAGCUUGACACUGAACAUUGAGCCUUGAUGUGUAGGAUAGGUGGGAGGCUUUGAAGUGUGGACGCCAGUCUGCAUGGAGCCGACCUUGAAAUACCACCCUUUAAUGUUUGAUGUUCUAACGUGGACCCGUAAUCCGGGUUGCGGACAGUGUCUGGUGGGUAGUUUGACUGGGGCGGUCUCCUCCUAAAGAGUAACGGAGGAGCACGAAGGUUGGCUAAUCCUGGUCGGACAUCAGGAGGUUAGUGCAAUGGCAUAAGCCAGCUUGACUGCGAGCGUGACGGCGCGAGCAGGUGCGAAAGCAGGUCAUAGUGAUCCGGUGGUUCUGAAUGGAAGGGCCAUCGCUCAACGGAUAAAAGGUACUCCGGGGAUAACAGGCUGAUACCGCCCAAGAGUUCAUAUCGACGGCGGUGUUUGGCACCUCGAUGUCGGCUCAUCACAUCCUGGGGCUGAAGUAGGUCCCAAGGGUAUGGCUGUUCGCCAUUUAAAGUGGUACGCGAGCUGGGUUUAGAACGUCGUGAGACAGUUCGGUCCCUAUCUGCCGUGGGCGCUGGAGAACUGAGGGGGGCUGCUCCUAGUACGAGAGGACCGGAGUGGACGCAUCACUGGUGUUCGGGUUGUCAUGCCAAUGGCACUGCCCGGUAGCUAAAUGCGGAAGAGAUAAGUGCUGAAAGCAUCUAAGCACGAAACUUGCCCCGAGAUGAGUUCUCCCUGAGACUUAGAGUCUCCUGAAGGAACGUUGAAGACGACGACGUUGAUAGGCCGGGUGUGUAAGCGCAGCGAUGCGUUGAGCUAACCGGUACUAAUGAACCGUGAGGCUUAACCUUACA
rnacentral:rRNA from 1 species